GCUACGGGAGGCAGCAGUGAGGAAUAUUGGUCAAUGGACGAGAGUCUGAACCAGCCAAGUAGCGUGAAGGAUGACUGCCCUAUGGGUUGUAAACUUCUUUUAUAAAGGAAUAAAACGAGGCACGUGUGCCUUUUUGCAUGUACUUUAUGAAUAAGGAUCGGCUAACGACGUGCCAGCAGCCGAGGUAAUACGGAGGAUCCGAGCGUUAUCCGGAUUUAUUGGGUUUAAAGGGAGCGUAGAUUGGUUGUUAAGUCAGUUGUGAAAGUUUGCGGCUCAACCGUAAAAUUGCAAUUGAUACUGGCAGUCUUGAGUACAGUUGAGGUAGGCGGAAUUCGUGGUGUAGCGGUGAAAUGCUUAGAUAUCACGAAGAACCCCGAUUGCGAAGGCAGCUUACUAAACUGUGACUGACAUUGAUGCUCGAAAGUGUGGGUAUCAAACAGGAUUAGAUACCCUUGUAGUC
rnacentral:rRNA from 1 species